GACAGAGGUCCCAAGCGUUAGGCGGAAUCACUGGGCUUAAAGCGUGUGUAGGCGGAUUUGUAAGUACCUUGUGAAAUCCCACGGCUCAACCGUGGAACUGCUGGGUAUACUGGCGGUCUUGAGCCACCUAGGGGCAACUGGAACAAGCGGUGGAGCGGUGAAAUGCGUAGAUAUCGCUUGGAACGCCAACGGUGAAAACAGGUUGCUGGGGGUGUGCUGACGCUGAGACACGAAAGCGUGGGGAGCAAACAGG
rnacentral:rRNA from 1 species